rnacentral:misc_RNA from 1 species
ACGAUUUCGUAGCUGGGCUUCGGCCCUGUCUGCACCCUUGUCUUUUGCGUACCAAUUGUUUCCUCGGCGGGCUUGCCUGCCGAUAGGACAUUGUAAAACCACUUGUAAUUGUAAUCAGCGUCAGUAAAACAAACAAUAUUA